UUUAUGGCUGCUAUUCUAGAAAAUGUACCUCUGGAGCAUUGUUUUACCAUAUAUACUGAAAUCGUGAUUAUCCAAAGCUGCUAAACACCUUUGUGUAAAUAGCUCCCAGGAACAAUGAAAGGAACUCUCUCAUCAGCAGCCUUUGCUGAUUGGCUGAAGGUGCAUGCAAAUGAUGUUUUAAGAAGAUACAUGCAUUAUUUUACAUUUUCUGUUUACUGCAG